rnacentral:lncRNA from 1 species
UUAAUAAUAAAUUGUACUUGUAUACUUUCUUUUGGCUAUAAUCUCUUCACCUAUAAUUUUGCUAAAAUGAUAUAAAAGUUAGUUUUAAAAACCGUCAGUUUGACUCUAAAAAAUCAAAACUGGAUAUUUAAUUUGGGAUGGAGGGAGUGUGAUUUAACUGUCUUACAAAAAAAUAUAUAAAGCGAACAAAAGUCACAGAUAUGGUACUAAUGCAAAUCUCCAUCUUCAUAAAUAAGUAUAUUUGAAUAUAUUAUCACAUCUUUUUAGCAGAACUGGAUAACAUAAUGUUUAAUCAUAUCCUCAAAUCAAAUUAUUUAAUUGCAUAAUGAACAGAUUUAAUUCAUUUUCCUGUUACCACUAAGUGACAACGAUAAAUUAAAUUGCAUGUACUAGACAACAAUAUGACAUUGACAUAUCUACUGUUUCUUUGAGAUUUUCAGCCGUGGGCGAAAUUUUGUCGGGCUUCUCCUUGCCAAGAACCUACUAAGCAAAAUAAGCAAAAUCAAACACAAAAAAUAAGUAAAAUCAGUCACUAUUUCUUUUUACUUUAUUUUUAUAAGUAACCCAUAGUCACUUUUAAUCAAAAAUACUAACACAAUCUAAGAAAACACAGAAACACACCAUAGCAACAAAUGAAAACAUCCCAAAUCUGUAGUUGUUCCAAGUAUGAAGUCAGCUAUUAAUAAAUGUGUAAAAUGUUAAUAAAGAAAUCCACAUAAACUUAAUAAGCCUAAUCUAGAACACCCUGAACCAUAAAUCAGGAAAAAUAAACUAAGAAGCUAAAUGAAACCAAGAAGAAAGAAGAAGAAUAACCUACUUUAAUGUGUCAGAGUAAAGCCAACCCAGAAGUUGCAACACGGAUUCAAAUCAAUUUUAGGAUUCUAAAGUCAAAUCCCCAAAUUUUUUUGUCGAAUGGACUGAGAGCCCGUUCGGUAACGACUUAUUUUAAAAUGACUUAAAGUUGAAAUAUAAGUUGAUUUAUAAGUUAUUUUAAGUUGUGACUUAUAAGUAAAAGCAUUCGGCAUCAAUUUGACUUAUAAGUUAAAAAUUAAGUUAAAACAAGUUAUGAAGGUGUAUGGCUGAUAAUGACUUAUAAGUUAAAAUCAAAUGUAAAGAUUACUAAAAAGAACAUUAAUAAAAAGAUACAUUGAUUCAAUAUCAUAUCAUAACCAUCAUCCACAAUUUCGUUAAAUAAAACACUUAACAAAUUCUCUAAACAUAUCAACUACAAUCUUAUUCCAAGUUAGAGAUUCUUAAUGCAAUAUUAUCUCUUAUUGAAUAUAGAAGCAUAUUGAAUAUUUAACAAGUACUAAGCACCAUGAUCAUAAGUGUACACACAUACAGCAUCAGUAGCACAAAAGAAAGGUGGUCACAUGAAGUUGGACGGAGGCAGUGUAUAAAAGAACAGUGAAAUGGCCAUCAUGAAAAUCCUUAAAGAUGAUAACAGGAUGUAGAGGUGUAUAGUCAAACACAUAUUGUGACAAAGACAUUAUCUAAUCUGUACUGUAUAGGUAAAUUUUCCCAAAACCAUUUCAUGCAAACACUAGUUGCCCAUUAACAUGAAGACAUGCAUAUUCUGUGUAAUUAGCAAGUUUUGUUUAUUAAAGAAAUGAGGUUUACCAGCAGACAGUUAACACAAUGACAUAAAAGAGCAUCAUGUUGUUUAAAACUGGUUGAGUUAAUUUAUGUUUCUUGAUCCAACUGAUCAAUCACUAGUGACAUGGCCACUACACUAGGUUUAUGCUUCUCUUAUUUGAAACUGCAGUUUUAGAUUUUGUAUAAACAUAGGUUAUACGCUAAACUAGGGAAAUCUAUACACGACCCAACUGCACUUAUAUGCUACUCUUAAUCUGGGCUUUGGAACAACUGCUAGAAAUAGAAGGGGACAAAUAUUGACAAUUUCUCAUCGAAGAGAAGUACUUGACAAUAAGAACCAAUUUACAACUAAUAAACAUUGUAUUACAACUCUAUCAACUCAAGUAGAAAAGGCAUGAAUGCGGUGGAUCAAACCCUAAGAGGUUGUAUUCUUUUGCUUAAACAUUCAUACUUAAUGCACCAAGGAAACUGCAUGAAAGGAGAAGCAUGUAAUUGUAGGUUUCCUGAAAACUGAUAACUUAAAAUUCUUUUACAAAGCAUCAUACAUAUAUUUAUCUUAAGAUUAGAAUCUUUGUAUGACACCAUUCUACAAUCAAAUUACUAUUUUUCUUUACAUACAACAUUCACCGAAUACUAUGUAACUAAUGAAUGCAGCAUUUUUACAGAAGACUUGAAGUAGUUCUGUUCAGCUCUGCCAAGUAUACCAUAAAUAAAAUCUGAAGUUCAACUACUAAAAGAAGAAAAAAGUUUAUACAAAAUCUAAAACUACAGUUUCAAAUAAAUUAGGACUACCUAAGUUGCCAACCAAAUUGAAACACUUGUAAUUGAUUGCAAUUAGUCAAAAUAGAAAAUAGAGGAGAGGUGGGCAAUUCAGCCAAAAUGGUACCAGAACAGAUACUCGGUUUUAGUUUGUUUGUUUGUGAUUAGAAUAAUAACUUAAUUACAAGAAAAGAUUACAUAAAAUACACCGGGGGUUAAUUGAAAUCAAAUCCAUAAAGAUUUUGAUUUAAUAUUUUAUCAUAUUCUUCAAUCAGACACACAAGUAUUAACUAGCUCCAUACCAGCUAGAAGGCAGUAUAAGAAAAAUGAACAAGAAUUGCUCAUUGGUACACCAUUUCACUUCUGUCAAAGAGUAACAACUUAUAAACGCUAACCUAAAUAAAAGGUAAAUUUUCCAGCAUUGUUAAGGCAGUCUCUGUGAUGUUUUCAAAUAUGUAAAUUCACAUAACCUUUUAGAUCACAUUAAUUUUUCAUUUUAUACUAACUGCAACUGAGUAAAACUAAAUCGCAUAAAAGUGUUCGGCAUCAACCCAGUAUACAACAAUUCAUUCAAUCAAUCAAUCAAACAUUUUGAACCACAUAAAUUAACAAAAAAUAGAAUUGAAUCGAAACCCUACAGUCAAAAUUAAAGAGGUAAGAAGAAGAAAAUCCACAUGCCAAAGUUUCAAACAUAACAUAAUACACAAAUAUACAUAUCAAAUAUUUGUUCUAGGGUUUGGUACCUAACAGCAAUCCAAGGAGUAGCAGCAAUCAAAAGAGUAGGAGGAGUAGCAGGAGUAAAACUUGCGGAGGGAAGGAGGAGAAGCCAAUAAAUUGAUGGAUCAAGCGUUGAGAGAGAGCAGAGCAGAGCUUCAAUUUUAGCCGUUGUGUAUUGUUAACGUUGGAAAAGCAAGAUCAGGCUUUUUAGGUUGAAAGGGGUAGAGAUGUGUAAUUU